GGUGUAAGCAAUUAGCUGGAAUAAAGUAUCAUCCAUACUGAGUAUGCAGUGGUCUUGUCCCCUCAGCGGUGGUGGGCUGAGUGAUCCGUGCGGGCGGCCUGGUGAUGUUGUCGGUAGUGGCAACAUAUGGUGACCCCCGACGUGAUCGGCGGAAAGCAGGACGCCCGCGGUCAUGGCGCAGAUGGAACAGGUGAUUAAGAUUGAUGUGUUCUUCGGAGCGCUCGCCGUGACGCAGAUCCAGCUGGGGUCACUCAAAUAUUGGCAAGAUUGGACACUGAAGUGGAACAUGUCCAGCACCUGUUAAUAUCUUCCGCAGUUGGCUCAGCUGGCACGUGUGCUGGGCAGGCACGUCAUGUAUCAGCCUGUGCCACAGGAUGCUGGAGUCAUCGAGCUUAGGGAGCGGGAGAUGUUGUAGGCGUCCGGAAGAUCUUGUGUUGUAACGCAAGAGGUGGAGGGUACAGAAGAGGUGGGCAAGGGGUUGAGUGAAAGGAGGUGCUUGUGUUAGCAGAUAAAAGCACAUAGUGUAAACAAUUAGUUGGAAUAAAGCAUCAUCCAUACUGAG